GGGCUUGUAGCUCAGGUGGUUAGAGCGCACGCCUGAUAAGCGUGAGGUCGGAGGUUCGAGUCCUCUCAAGCCCA
rnacentral:tRNA from 1 species